rnacentral:rRNA from 1 species
GGUCAAGCGGUUAAGGCGCAUGGUGGAUGCCUUGGUAUCAAGGGCCGAAGAAGGGCGUGGCAAGGCUGCGAAAAGCCUCGGUAAGCUGUCUAGCAAGCCUAAGCCGGGGAUUCCCGAAUGGGGCAACCCACUCAGGUAAAACCUGAGUACCCCCAGCUGAACACAUAGGCUGGGAGGAGGUAAGCGGGGGAAGUGAAACAUCUCAGUACCCCGAGGAAAAGAGAUUAUUCCCUGAGUAGUGGCGAACGAAAGGGGAGCAGCCCAAACCCUAUAAGCUAAGUGGCUCUGGGGCCUAAGCUUAUAGGGGGUUGUAAGGCAGGUGAGACUCAGCUCAGAAUGGGUCAGGGAGUUACCAACCGAACCCUAGUCGAAGGUCUCUGGAAAGAGCCAUCACAGAGGGUGACAGUCCCGUAGACGAAAGGGGUAGGCUCCCAACUUGUACUUGAGUACCACGGGACACGUGGAAUCCUGUGGGAAUCUGCCCUGACCACAGGGCAAGGCUAAAUACCCUUGAUGACCGAUAGUGAACUAGUACCGUGAGGGAAAGGUGAAAAG